rnacentral:rRNA from 1 species
CGGGGUGCAGCAGGCGCGAAAACUCUACAAUGCAGGCAACUGCGAUAGGGGGACAUCAAGUGGCAUCCACCUUGGGUGCCUGUCCAACCGUCUAAAAAACGGUUGUUAGCAAGGGCCGGGUAAGACCGGUGCCAGCCGCCGCGGUAAUACCGGCGGCUCGAGUGGUGGCCGAUAUUAUUGAGUCUAAAGGGUCCGUAGCCGGCUUUGCAAGUCCCCUGGGAAAUCCAGCGGCUUAACCGUUGGGCUUUCAUGGGAUACUACAUUGCUUGGGACUGGGAGAGGUAGGAGGUACUCGGGGGGUAGGGGUGAAAUCCUGUAAUCCUCCGGGGACCACCGGUGGCGAAGGCGUCCUACCAGAACAGGUCCGACGGUGAGGGACGAAAGCUAGGGGCACGAACCGGAUUAGAUACCCGGGUAGUCCUAGCCGUAAACGAUGCCCGCUAGGUGUCACGACGGUCGUGAAUCGUCGUGGUGCCGUAGGGAAGCCGCGAAGCGGGCCACUUGGGAAGUACGGCCGCAAGGCUGAAACUUAAAGGAAUUGGCGGGGGAGCAC